rnacentral:lncRNA from 12 species
GAAGACUUGAAACCUGACGGAAGUGUGGUGCUAGACACACAUAGGAGUCACCAUCAAUACCAGGAUUUUACAUCCCUAAGGGUAGAGCUCCCUGUUUUUCUGAAGAUACUGCUCCCCUGCUGGAUGUAUUAACUUUUUGUGGAGCCUGUGAUGUUUACACCUUGGAAUGUCUCUAACUAUUCAGGUGCCUGAAUAAAGAGUUAGUGCCUGCCCUCAAAUAGUAUGGAAUUAUGCUUAUGUAGC